GCUCCAAUAGCGUAUAUUAAAGUUGUUGCGGUUAAAAAGCUCGUAGUUGAAUCUCAGUUCAUGUUAAGGGGUCCGCCAUAUGGCGGUUACUUCUUAGCUGAACAUUUUAUAGAUUUGUCUCUUGAUGCUCUUUACCGAGUGUCAUGAGCGAUCUGUACGUUUACUUUGAAAAAAUUAGAGUGCUCAAAGCAGGCAUUUUGCCCGAAUAAUCUUGCAUGGAAUAAUGGAAUAGGACCUUAGUUCUAUUUUGUUGGUCUCCGGAAUCUGAGGUAAUGAUUAAGAGGGACAGACGGGGGCAUUCGUAUUGCGGCGCUAGAGGUGAAAUUCUUGGACCGUCGCAAGACGAACUACAGCGAAAGCAUUUGCCAAGAAUGUUUUCAUUAAUCAAGAACGAAAGUUAGAGGUUC
rnacentral:rRNA from 1 species